rnacentral:rRNA from 1 species
AUUGAACGCUGGCGGCAUGCCUUACACAUGCAAGUCGAACGGCAGCAUGGGUGCUUGCACCUGAUGGCGAGUGGCGAACGGGUGAGUAAUGCAUCGGAACGUACCCGGAAGUGGGGGAUAACGUAGCGAAAGUUACGCUAAUACCGCAUAUUCUGUGAGCAGGAAAGCGGGGGAUCGCAAGACCUCGCGCUUCCGGAGCGGCCGAUGUCGGAUUAGCUAGUUGGCGGGGUAAAGGCCCACCAAGGCAACGAUCCGUAGCGGGUCUGAGAGGAUGAUCCGCCACACUGGGACUGAGACACGGCCCAGACUCCUACGGGAGGCAGCAGUGGGGAAUUUUGGACAAUGGGCGCAAGCCUGAUCCAGCCAUGCCGCGUGAGUGAAGAAGGCCUUCGGGUUGUAAAGCUCUUUCGGCUGGGAAGAAAUCGCAUCUCCUAAUACGGGGUGUGGAUGACGGUACCAGCAUAAGAAGCACCGGCUAACUGCGUG